GAUGAACGCUGGCGGUGCGCAUAAUACAUGCAAGUCGAACGUGAUCUCGAAUUUAUUCGAGUGAAAGUGGCGGACGAGCGAGUAAUACGUAAGAACUUACCCCGUAUUCAGGGAUAACUCCGCGAAAGCGGAGCUAAUACCGGAUAGUCUCGAAAGAGUAAAGUUACGGCGAUACGGGAGAGGCUUGCGGCCUAUCAGCUAGUUGGUAAGGUAAAGGCUUACCAAGGCUAUGACGGGUAGAUGGUGUGAGAGCAUGACCAUCCGCGAUGGGACUGAGACACGGCCCAUACUCCUACGGGAGGCAGCAGUAGGGAAUCUUCCGCAAUGGACGAAAGUCUGACGGAGCGACACCGCGUGAAGGAUGAAGGCCUUGGUUGUAAACUUCUUUCUCAGGGAAGAAAAUACUGACGGUACCUGAGGAAUAAGCCCCGGCUAAUUACGUG
rnacentral:rRNA from 1 species